rnacentral:misc_RNA from 1 species
AAGUCGUAACAAGGUUUCCGUAGGUGAACCUGCGGAAGGAUCACUAGAGAUUUCGCCCUCCGGGGCUCUCUUUCUUCACACACCCCUGUGCACUUUGGCUGCCGCUUCAUUGCGGUGGUCUUUUUAAUAAUUACCAUACCCAUAUACACAAGUCAUUGAAUGUAAAAUCGUUAUAAACUAAUAUAACUUUCAACAACGGAUCUCUUGGUUCUC